UUCCUACGGGGCGCAGCAGUAGGGAAUAUUGCUCAAUGGGGGAAACCCUGAAGCAGCAACGCCGCGUGGAGGAUGAAGGUUUUAGGAUUGUAAACUCCUUUUGUUAGAGAAGAUUAUGACGGUAUCUAACGAAUAAGCACCGGCUAACUCCGUGCCAGCAGCCGCGGUAAUACGGAGGGUGCAAGCGUUACUCGGAAUCACUGGGCGUAAAGAGUGCGUAGGCGGCCCUGCAAGUCAGAAGUGAAAUCCAUGGGCUUAACCCGUGAACUGCUUUUGAAACUGCAGGACUUGAGUGGAGUAGAGGG
rnacentral:rRNA from 1 species